UUCGAUAUAUUAUGUCUUCCUGGGUUUGUCACCCUAUGUCCUUGAUUGCUCCAUAUGCAAAUAGGUUAAUGAUCUUGGGUGGUCCAUUUCCUUUUUUGACCCUUUUGGGUGCACACGCACUUUCUCCACAAGACCAUACCGCAUGGUGGUCAAAACGGUGGAAGCAGAAGGCCUGCAAUAAUCCUCGGAUUGAGGAUGAUCUGUCUUCUGCUGUGGGAUUGGGAGCGCUCCGCUAGGAAAUUUCUUUGACCUUUAGCGGUGAGCUAAUUUAUUAGAUUGUCUUCUAUUUUGUCAUGCUGGUCUUGAGAGCAUUAGACUAAUGUAUUUUUAUGUCGCUUUCAGGAGCCGGGAUUAUAUU
rnacentral:lncRNA from 1 species